AACGCGAAGAACCUUACCUGGGCUAGACAACGGCGGACCGUCCUAGAAAUAGGAUCUUCCCUUCGGGGACCGCCGGUUCAGGUGCUGCAUGGCUGUCGUCAACUCGUGCCGUGAGGUGUUGGGUUAAGUCCCGCAACGAGCGCAACCCUCGUCCUUAGUUGCCACCAUUUAGUUGGGCACUCUAGGGAGACUGCCGGCGUUAAGCCGGAGGAAGGUGGGGACGACGUCAAGUCAUCAUGGCCCUUAUGUCCAGGGCCACACACGUGCUACAAUGGGCGGUACAAAGGGUCGCGAACCCGCGAGGGGGAGCCAAUCCCAAAAAGCCGCUCUCAGUUCGGAUUGGAGUCUGCAACUCGACUCCAUGAAGUUGGAAUCGCUAGUAAUCGCGGAUCAGCACGCCGCGGUGAAUACGUUCCCGGG
rnacentral:rRNA from 1 species